GACGAACGCUGGCGGCGUGCUUAACACAUGCGAGUCGAACGGAAAGGCCCUGCUUUUGUGGGGUGCUCGAGUGGCGAACGGGUGAGUAACACGUGAGUAACCUGCCCUUGACUUUGGGAUAACUUCAGGAAACUGGGGCUAAUACCGGAUAGGAGCUCCUGCUGCAUGGUGGGGGUUGGAAAGUUUCGGCGGUUGGGGAUGGACUCGCGGCUUAUCAGCUUGUUGGUGGGGUAGUGGCUUACCAAGGCUUUGACGGGUAGCCGGCCUGAGAGGGUGACCGGCACGCGUGGGAGCGGGUUCGGGCACAGCGCCGGGGGGGGGCGGGUAGGGGAGAAAAGUGAAGACGGGGCGGACGCGGGAUCGAGCAAGUGGGCGGGGGGGAGGCUGGCCGUCGGGUUGUAAUCGCCUGGGGGCGGGGAGGAGGGGGGGGGGAGGGUAGAGGGUAAAGAAGCACGGGAUAACGCCGUGCCAGCAGCGGGGGUAUGAGAGGCAGAACCACCCUUUGAAC
rnacentral:rRNA from 1 species